rnacentral:piRNA from 1 species
UUCUGUGAUAACUCCAGCUUGUGUCAGGU